rnacentral:rRNA from 1 species
UAACACAUGCAAGUCGAACGGUAACAGGAAGCAGCUUGCUGCUUUGCUGACGAGUGGCGGACGGGUGAGUAAUGUCUGGGGAACUGCCUGAUGGAGGGGGAUAACUACUGGAAACGGUGGCUAAUACCGCAUAACGUCGCAAGACCAAAGAGGGGGACCUUCGGGCCUCUUGCCAUCAGAUGUGCCCAGAUGGGAUUAGCUUGUUGGUGAGGUAACGGCUCACCAAGGCGACGAUCCCUAGCUGGUCUGAGAGGAUGACCAGCCACACUGGAACUGAGACACGGUCCAGACUCCUACGGGAGGCAGCAGUGGGGAAUAUUGCACAAUGGGCGCAAGCCUGAUGCAGCCAUGCCGCGUGUAUGAAGAAGGCCUUCGGGUUGUAAAGUACUUUCAGCGGGGAGG